UGCUAUGGGUGAAAAUAUUCGUUGCAACAGUGAUACUAUGUCAAACUUAUUACAACCCAAUGAGAACGCUUGCAUUUCAUCGAGUGCCGUAUAUUUCACCGAUUCUCGUGAAUGAUGCCCCAUACUAACCACCGAUUUUUGACUUUUGAUUGAAUUAUGACAACUUUGACGUGGUAUCACCAUUGCAACUAAUAUCUUCUCCUGC
rnacentral:lncRNA from 1 species